UCUCUAUCCUUCAGAUAGUAUCUGGGACCAAAACCUGAGGGAGCCUGUGGGACAGAGCAGGCGAGCACGGGCCCCGCCCCUUUCGCUCCUUGACCUCUGGGAACAGCCCAGCCCCAGGGGCGGAACCUCGUGCGCAGCCUCAGGCUGGAGAAAACAGCAGGGAGGGGUGAGCUACAACCGGCAGAGCCUGCGGGCACCUGGAGGGUGGCAGCCUGGCGCACAGCUCCGGCAGGCCUCCCCAGCAUUCCACAGUCCCAGGCAGCAAGGUUAAAAAGGCUCCCCAGGCAUUUGGCUGCCAGCCACAGGUCCCCGUGUGGGCAGUAGCUCCCGAAGUGGCCCAGGCACGGGAAGAAACUAAGAGUCAGUCACUCCAGCGGAAGUUCUAAGGAACUCCUUUCAUUGGCCAGGGGUCUUGGAGAAGCAAUGAAUAUCACUGACUAAAUGGAUGGAGGAGAAGAAAGAUGAUGACAAAGAACCAGUAAUGCAAAUUCAACUAUCCCUGUGUUAUAGAAGCCAGAAAAACUUAAACUGCCAGAUCUCAAGAAGCUUAGCAAAAAGUCAGAAUUUUUUAUUGUUGGAUUCAGAAAGCAUAACUGCAGAAUAAGAGUGGUGGAAGGAAAGUGUCAUUAUUCACUUCAUAAGGAGAAAACCCUGAUAACCUGACUUAUCAUCAAGAUCACUAACUCGAGGUACCCAGUGUUCACCUACUUCACAAAAAAAGACCAAAACAAGAAAAAAACAAUGGCACUUUGAGUAGAUACUCUACAAGAAAACACUGAAUUGAUCAAAGAAGACAGGAAAACCCUCUGAAGCAUGGAACCUUGAAAUCUCAGCAUAGAGAGGUGUUGCAUCCACAUUUUAGGCAGAAAGAAGAUAAAGAGCAAAUGGCAAAAAGCUGCUGCCAACUGAAUCUGUUCCUGUUCAUCAUUGAAACGAUGACAUUUUCGAAUAUUCAUGGGAGAUGCUUUUGUUUGUACCCCAAUGGCUAGAACUGAGCCAACUGGGUACUUUCAGUUUCUAGGUCAUCUGAGAAGGUGCUCUUGUGCAGAUGCUUGUGCCCAGAAAGAGAGAGAGAAGAGAGAGCCAAAGCUACCCAUCUUGCCAGUGGACAAGAGGAAGCCAGGACACAGCUCUGCUCGCUCGUGCCCAGAGUGAGAAAGAGGAAGACACUACUGUCGGGGACCGUAUCCUUUACAGUAUGUGUUCCACCUACUGCUUCUGUGGAUUCUCUCCAAAACCAGUUCACAGCCACUUGAAAGG